UGUCGCAUCUUAAAUAUAUGUUUCAUGUUAUUUUAUAUAUAAAAAGAUCUCAACUUUACGUAGCGUAUGCAGCGUGUAGUAUCUCGCGAAUUUAUAAACGGUUAGUGCUGUUGUACUGAAUCGAUAGGGGCGAGAGAUAUCGAUAAUCGAAUUAUUUCGAACAAAUUCGAGAUUUCGAGUUGACACAACAAGCAAGUGUCAAAUGCACAUCUGUUGAGGGAGAGAAUGGACUUCGAGAGUCCGGAUGUCGAGAAAGAAUUUCCCGGUUUGUACGCUUCCGAAUCGGCGAGAAAGAGCAAUGAGAGCGAUUGUACGUAACAAGACAUCAUCGUAUUAUAUCUACGUUUGACGUUUCAGACAGUAGACACUGCGAAAGAGAGGUUAUGCAUCUAUCAGGUUAGUGAUGAAGGCAUCCACGACAAGCAUUCCAAAAAGGAGCUCUUGUCUAAUUUUACAUAAUUUCUGGCAUUCCUGAAGGAUGUGCUAUUGAUCAUUCGCAAAUCAGUUCACCGAGAGUGCAAGAUUUCUCAAGAGGGAUUAAUUUUGAGAAACAUUCCCUUGACAGCGACAUAAUAAUUACUCCUUCUUCAAGAUUGUCAGUUAGCUCACUGAUAGAUAGUAGAUUUAUUAGAAUUUUUAACCCCUGAUGCUAGUGGAAUGUCUGGCAUUCCUGAAGGAUGUGCUAUUGAUCAUUCGCAAAUCAGUUCACCGAGAGUGCAAGAUUUCUCAAGAGGGAUUAAUUUUGAGAAACAUUCCCUUGACAGCGACAUAAUAAUUACUCCUUCUUCAAGAUUGUCAGUUAGCUCACUGAUAGAUAGUAGAUUUAUUAGAAUUUUUAACCCCUGAUGCUAGUGGAAUGUCUGGCAUUCCUGAAGGAUGUGCUAUUGAUCAUUCGCAAAUCAGUUCACCGAGAGUGCAAGAUUUCUCAAGAGGGAUUAAUUUUGAGAAACAUUCCCUUGACAGCGACAUAAUAAUUACUCCUUCUUCAAGAUUGUCAGUUAGCUCACUGAUAGAUAGUAGAUUUAUUAGAAUUUUUAACCCCUGAUGCUAGUGGAAUGUCUGGCAUUCCUGAAGGAUGUGCUAUUGAUCAUUCGCAAUUCAGUUCACCGAGAGUGCAAGAUUUCUCAAGAGGGAUUAAUUUUGAGAAACAUUCCCUUGACAGCGACAUAAUAAUUACUCCUUCUUCAAGAUUGUCAGUUAGCUCACUGAUAGAUAGUAGAUUUAUUAGAAUUUUUAACCCCUGAUGCUAGUGGAAUGUCUGGCAUUCCUGAAGGAUGUGCUAUUGAUCAUUCGCAAUUCAGUUCACCGAGAGUGCAAGAUUUCUCAAGAGGGAUUAAUUUUGAGAAACAUUCCCUUGACAGCGACAUAAUAAUUACUCCUUCUUCAAGAUUGUCAGUUAGCUCACUGAUAGAUAGUAGAUUUAUUAGAAUUUUUAACCCCUGAUGCUAGUGGAAUGUCUGGCAUUCCUGAAGGAUGUGCUAUUGAUCAUUCGCAAUUCAGUUCACCGAGAGUGCAAGAUUUCUCAAGAGGGAUUAAUUUUGAGAAACAUUCCCUUGACAGCGACAUAAUAAUUACUCCUUCUUCAAGAUUGUCAGUUAGCUCACUGAUAGAUAGUAGAUUUAUUAGAAUUUUUAACCCCUGAUGCUAGUGGAAUGUCUGGCAUUCCUGAAGGAUGUGCUAUUGAUCAUUCGCAAUUCAGUUCACCGAGAGUGCAAGAUUUCUCAAGAGGGAUUAAUUUUGAGAAACAUUCCCUUGACAGCGACAUAAUAAUUACUCCUUCUUCAAGAUUGUCAGUUAGCUCACUGAUAGAUAGUAGAUUUAUUAGAAUUUUUAACCCCUGAUGCUAGUGGAAUGUCUGGCAUUCCUGAAGGAUGUGCUAUUGAUCAUUCGCAAAUCAGUUCACCGAGAGUGCAAGAUUUUUCAAGAGGGAUUAAUUUUGAGAAACAUUCCCUUGACAGCGACAUAAUAAUUACUCCUUUACUUAUGGUGGUGAUUUGUUGCAAAGGGAAAGUGAAGGUAUAUUUUAUGCGAUAUACGCAACUUCCUGGUUUACGCUUCCUUUAACGCUGAUGAAGGACAUUCACUUCGCAAUAAUGAAGUCAAGCAUUCCGUUUCGGUUAACUGGUGGAAAAUUUUUCUACGUUAAUCGCGAAACAAUGAUGAACAUCCUCAAGACAACAUAUUCUUAUAUUUCUGUUCUACGUAUAGCACUACUAACAAAAUAAUUUUGAAUUCGAGUGAAAAUGCGAUGCGUACAUUUCAAUAUGUGUCAGUUUGUGUGUGAAUAUGUUUGUAUGUAUAUGAUAAGAUUUAAAGUAUGCAGAAAGCAAUAUUAUAUAAAAAUUCAUAUUCAUAAAGAAUGCAAAUAUUUAAUUAAAGUAUUUUGAGACAUACACUUCUCCAUGCAGUAAUUUAAAUAUUUUAAAAUUAUUUAGUUGCAUCAAUAGUCUUAUAUCGAUAACGUAUUUUGCUUAUAUUUAUGUGAUAUUGGAUCUUACAUCAAGUAGAAAGUAUUAUAUAUAUUUAUUAAAAUUAAUAAAUUCAUUAAAAUAUUACAGCAAUGUCAACCUUUUACGCACAGAUGAUUAA